AACGAACGCUGGCGGCGUGGAUAAGGCAUGCAAGUCGAACGGGCUUUAACGGGUGGUAACAUCUGUUAAGGCUAGUGGCGAACGGGUGAGUAACACGUGGGCAAUCUGCCUCGAAGUGGGGGAUAACAUCGGGAAACCGGUGCUAAUACCGCGUAAUAUCCAGGGAUCGCAUGUUUCCUGGAUCAAAGGUGGGGAUCUUUCGGGACCUACCGCUUUGAGAGGAGCCCGCGGUCGAUUAGCUUGUUGGUGAGGUAAUGGCUCACCAAGGCAAUGAUCGAUAGCCGACCUGAGAGGGUGACCGGCCACACUGGGACUGAGAUACGGCCCAGACUCCUACGGGAGGCAGCAGUGGGGAAUCUUAGACAAUGGGCGCAAGCCUGAUCUAGCCAUGCCGCGUGAGCGAUGAAGGCCUUAGGGUUGUAAAGCUCUUUCAGUGGGGAAGAUAAAUGACUGUACCCCACAGAAGAAGCCCCGGNUAACUCCGUGCCAGCAGCCGCGGUAA
rnacentral:rRNA from 1 species